rnacentral:rRNA from 1 species
UUGGGAAUAUUGGACAAUGGGAGAAAUCCUGAUCCAGCAAUGCCGCGUGAAUGAUGAAGGCCUUCGGGUCGUAAAGUUCUUUUAGCGGGGAAGAAGGGAAACUUGACGGUACCCGCAGAAAAAGCACCGGCUAACUACGUGCCAGCAGCCGCGGUAAUACGUAGGGUGCAAGCGUUGUUCGGAAUCAUUGGGCGUAAAGCGCGUGUAGGCGGUUUCCUAAGUCUGGCGUGAAAGCCCGGGGCUUAACCCCGGAAGUGCGCUGGAUACUGGGUGACUAGAGGACGAGAGAGGAAAGCGGAAUUCCUGGUGUAGGGGUGAAAUCCGUAGAUAUCAGGAGGAACACCGGUGGCGAAGGCGGCUUUCUGGCUCGUUUCUGACGCUGAGAUGCGAAAGCGUGGGGAGCAAACAG